GCGAGAGUAGCUCAGUUGGUAGAGCUCUAGCCUUCCAAGCUUGCGGUCGCGGGUUCAAGUCCCGUCUCUCGCUCCA
rnacentral:tRNA from 1 species